AAAAACUUCCAAUAAAAUUCCCCCAAAUAUUUUCCCCCAUUAUUUCUCUUAUGUGAAAUAUCCCCCCUAGUUCUGAAGAGACCUCUAAAAUAUUUCUCCUUUGAAAUUUUCCAAUCCCUUUCCGCGUACCCCGACUCCUCCACCCGCUUACAACGACCAAGUCUAUUCAGUACAAAAGAUGGAGUUUCGGCAAUGAAACUAAUUGAGAUGGUAUUGCAUGCACUGACUCAACUUGUGUUGGCACCUUCGGCGACACUUCCUCUGCAACACCCAGUCAAGUGCCGUCAUCGAUUUGUCUGCACCUUUUGUUCCUUUACGAAAAUCGAUAACUCUGCUUUCAUACUUUUUAUGCAGGGGCGAGAUAAGUAGAUAUGACUAUCAAUGACAGAGGUGAAAGACUUGAAAAUUCCUCUCUAGAGGGAGAUAGGUAUAAAUAUGGUAUCGUUAUGUGAAAAAUCAGGUUGCUGGUUCAUAACUACACGAAAAGAGACAUACAUUGGCACUUGUAUAAGAUUAUAUUUUUGUCAUAUAAGGUUACUUAAGCAAUAUCUGGAAAAUUCUGGAGAUGGAAUUGAAAAUGGUGGGACUAGAACAAAUUGAUUUAUCAGAAGCUAAUAACGAAGAGUUUUGGACAAUUAUGGGCAGCUCGGUGCACUACGCUCCCGCUAUGCGCAGAGUCCGGAGAAGGGCCGGAUCACAAUUGGACCAUUAUGAUAUUUAUGAUAUAAUAUGAAUAUAUAUAUAUAAGGUUAAUGGCUGGCAGACACCUUGAAACAAUUGGUUUUAUUAUUUGAUGUUGUAUAUGACA